rnacentral:sRNA from 1 species
GCUAGUGCUGCUGGGUCUGGAGAUGACUCUGAAGGACGAUGGACAGCACAUGUGGAGGCCCAAGAGGUUCCCCAGACCAGUCUACUGCAAUCUGUGCGAGUCAAGCAUUGGUCUUGGCAAACAGGGACUGAGCUGUAACCUCUGUAAGUACACUGUUCACGACCAGUGUGCCAUGAAAGCCCUGCCUUGUGAAGUCAGCACCUAUGCCAAGUCUCGGAAGGACAUUGGUGUGAGUGAUCUCAUGCCUCCACCCCCAACAUCACCUACAUCCUGGCCCUGGCCCUGGCCCUUGGCCCAUUGCUGCCCUCAGCCCCUCCCUCCCCUAGGUCCUGCUCAGACCCUCCCAGACAAGGAACUGCCUUUCUCCCCAAGGUCCAAUCACAUGUGUGGGUGCGAGGAGGCUGUGAGUCCGGGCGCUGCGACCGCUGUCAGAAAAAGAUCCGGAUCUACCACAGUCUGACCGGGCUGCAUUGUGUAUGGUGCCACCUAGAGAUCCACGAUGACUGCCUGCAAGCGGUGGGCCAUGAGUGUGACUGUGGGCUGCUCCGGGAUCACAUCCUGCCUCCAUCUUCCAUCUAUCCCAGUGUCCUGGCCUCUGGACCGGAUCGUAAAAAUAGCAAAACAAGCCAGAAGACCAUGGAUGAUUUAAAUUUGAGCACCUCUGAGGCUCUGCGGAUUGACCCUGUUCCUAACACCCACCCACUUCUCGUCUUUGUCAAUCCUAAGAGUGGCGGGAAGCAGGGGCAGAGG